rnacentral:lncRNA from 1 species
UGUUGUGCAUAUUAAUGCAAACUACAUGAGAAAAAAAAAUGGACAUCUAUGAGCUCUUUAUAACACCUUCCUAUGCAUGAAUGUCAUAUAAACCUACAAAUGCUGAACGUAGGAAACAAUAUCGGUUAGAUGAGAUACGUCACAUAUUUAUAAACAAAAAAUAUAAGUAGUCAGUAGUAAGUCACCUGGAUAAAAAGUGUUGUCAGGCUAACCUUCCACGCAAGUAAGUAAUGCUGCGAUAUUAGUUUAUAUGAAAUCUCUUUCUAUAUAUAAACAAAUAACUAAGGCUAGCUACCGUGUUCAAAUCCCUCUUUUUGUAGAGUUACAUUGCAUAUAAUGCUUUUAUUCAGGCAAGGAGGACGAAUUGUUGUGGUUUGUUCCUGUGCUGUGGACAGAAGACAAAUGACUCGGUUGUUGGAGAAGACCAAGUAUGUGCUUCCGCUCGGAUCAGAGACGCUCCUAGCAGUCAUUAUAAUGUUAAGUUAAACUAGAUUCAAACCUGCGUAUUGCAGUAGAAUAUUUAGAUAAAAUGUAAGGAUGGUUACUAAACACAACAAACUAACUAUGUUAAAAAUAUUAAAGAAAUUAAUAGUAUUUGAAAGGUUGGUGAGUAGAAAGUGAGACAAGAGUCCUUGUGGUCCUAAGGUGUAGUUUGGGCAUCAUCAAUUAUUUCUGUAGACC